rnacentral:rRNA from 1 species
CCUACGGGUGGCAGCAGUGAGGAAUAUUGGUCAAUGGGCGCGAGCCUGAACCAGCCAAGUAGCGUGAAGGAUUACUGCCCUACGGGUUGUAAACUUCUUUUAUAAAGGAAUAAAGUGAGGCACGUGUGCCUUUUUGUAUGUACUUUAUGAAUAAUGAUCGGCUAACUCCGGGCAAGCAGCCGCGGUAAUACGGAGGAGCCGAGCGUUAUCCGGAUUUGUUGGGUUUAAAGGGAGCGUAGAUGGGUUGUUAAGUCAGUUGUGAAAGUUUGCGGCUCAACCGGAAAAUGGCAAUUGAUACUGGCAGACUUGAGUACAGGUGAGGUAAGCGGAAUUCGUGGUGUAGCGGUGAAAUGCUUAGAUAUCACGAAGAACUCUCAUUGCGAAGGCAGGUUACUAAACUGCCACUGACAUUGAUGCUCGAAAGUCAGGGUAUCAAACGGGAUUAGAUACCCGAGUGGUC